GAGUUUGAUCAUGGCUCAGGAUGAACGCUAGCGGCAGGCUUAACACAUGCAAGUCGAGGGGCAGCACGGUGUAGCAAUACAUUGGUGGCGACCGGCGCACGGGUGCGUAACGCGUAUACAAUUUGCCUUAUACAGGGAGAUAGCCCGGAGAAAUUCGGAUUAAUAUCCCAUAACACUGCGCUAUGGCAUCAUAGUGCAUUUAAAGCUACGGCGGUAUAAGAUGAGUAUGCGUCUGAUUAGCUAGUUGGUGAGGUAACGGCUCACCAAGGCGACGAUCAGUAGGGGGCCUGAGAGGGUUAUCCCCCACACUGGAACUGAGACACGGUCCAGACUCCUACGGGAGGCAGCAGUGAGGAAUAUUGGUCAAUGGAGGCAACUCUGAACCAGCCAUGCCGCGUGUAGGAAGAAUGCCCUAUGGGUUGUAAACUACUUUUAUUUGGGAAGAAACCCCCUUACGAGUAAGGGGCUGACGGUACCAAAGGAAUAAGGACCGGCUAACUCCGUGCCAGCAGCC
rnacentral:rRNA from 1 species